GCUGGGAUAGCUCAGUUGGUAGAGCAUAAGACUCCUAAUCUCAGGGUCAUGGGUUUGAGCCCCACAUUGGGCA